rnacentral:rRNA from 1 species
AACGAACGCUGGCGGCGUGGCUUAGGCAUGCAAGUCGAGCGAGAAACCGUUCUUCGGGACGGGAGUAAAGCGGCGAAAGGGACAGUAAUGCCUAGAUAGCCUACCCUAGAGACGGGGAUAACGCUGGGAAACCGGUGCUAAUACCCGAUGGUGUCGGCGGGUCGCAUGGUCUGCCGACUAAAGAUAGCCUCUAUUUAUAAGCCUUCGCUCUAGGAGGGGUC